ensembl:lncRNA
AUGUAGUACUACAUUCUACAGGUUUAUAAAGUGGAAAAAGUCAAACAAAAACUUAAGUAACAAUCGUUUACUUCUGGGUCACUUAAAUAAAUACAUGUUAAAAUACUUUGGUUCGUCCCAUCGUGUGUGUUUAGGUGCGUACGCAACUGUGUGCGUGCGUGUGUGUGUGUGUGUGCGUGCGUGUGUGUGUGCGUGUGCGUGUGUGCGUGCGUGUGUGUGUGUGUGCGUGCGUGUGCGUGCGUGCGUGUGUGCGUGUGUCGCCUCUUCCUGGUUCCUCCUGGUUCUUCUCCUCUCGGGCUCCUCUCGUCGCUGCGUCAGGAGGAACCUCUGCGCCAUGUUGACCCGCUAACAGCCGGAACUUUAACCCACUAAGCAACUAGUUGGUGUUUGGUAGCUAACGCUAGUUAGCUCCGCGUUAGCUCCCUGCUAGCCGCACAGCCCGUCGGUUACAGAACCGGCAGGUGGAGCCGAGCGACGCCACCAGUCCUACACCAACUCUGCCUUCAGCAGCCAGCCGUCUCCUCCGCCCGAACACACCUGUAAGGCCUGCGGGGGGAGACUCGACACACCUGCCACGAAGCAUGUCUGUGUCGACUGCCAGAAGGACUACUGCUGCCGCUGCUCCGCCCAGCUAGAGCCCCGCCCCCGCCUCUGUCACACCUGUCAGCGUUUCUACGGCAACCUGCUGGAGCGGGCGGAGCUCAUGAAGCUGAAAGUGAAGGAGCUGCGGGACUACCUGCACCUGCAUGAGGUCUCCACCCACUUGUGCAGAGAGAAGGAAGAGCUGGUGGAGCUCGUCCUCGGACAGCGGUCCUUGCCGUCCCACGGGUCCGUCCCCGAGACUCCGACCUCCACCCCCCCCGACGUGACCUCCGACCCCACCAUUUGCAUCUCCUCCCCGACUCCCGACUCCCCGACCUCCAUCCCAGAGCCCCCGUCUGCCGAGCCCGAAGCCCCGCCCCCGCCCACAGAAGAGCCCGCCCCCGCUGAGCCCAAUGCUGCGGACGAAGACCAGGUAACACCAGGAAGGAGACUCAAGCCAGGGUCUUGUUUUUGAGACUGGAUUCUUCAGGUCUUCAGUGUCUUUUGUCUGUCUGGUUCAGAACUGGGAUCCGGAGGAGGCUCCGGUCUCAGGCCGCCGGGCUUCUCUUUCGGAUCUGAGCUGCCCGGAUGACAUCGAGGGGCUCAGCGUUCGACAGCUGAAGGAAAUCCUCGCCAGGAACUUCGUCAACUACAAAGGUUGCUGUGAGAAGUGGGAGCUGAUGGAGAGAGUGAACCGGCUGUACCAGGACCAGCAGAACCUACUGGGUAAGUAUCAGGACCACAGUGGGCCGCUACAGGACCAUAGUGGGCCACUACAGGACCAUAGAGGGCCA